rnacentral:rRNA from 1 species
UAUAAUUUAAAGUAAAGCCUGCCCACUGAAUAAGUUUUGAAGGGCCGCAGUAUUUUGACUGUGCAAAGGUAGCAUAAUCAUUAGUUUUUUAAUUGAAAGCUGGAAUGAAAGGUUUAAUGAGAAAUAAAUUGUUUUAAAAUUAAAUAUUGAAUUUUAUUUUUAAGUUCAAAAGCUUAAAUAAUUUUAAAAGACGAGAAGACCCCAUAAAGUUUUAUUAAAUUAAGAUUAAUUAAUUUAAGAAUUAAAUUUAUUGAUUUGAAGUUUAAUUUGGUUGGGGUGAUUAAAAAAUUGAAAAAACUUUUUUAUUUAUUGACAAUUAUAUUUG